rfam:Bifidobacterium longum subsp. infantis ATCC 15697, complete genome.
UGGGAGCGUCGGUAGGCGAGGCUACCGCAGGGAUAUGGGUUGCUGCCGCUAACAGUGGAGACACUGCACGCAGGUCAGCAGUUCUUGUCGGAUCAAGGCAUGAACUAACGCAAUUCCACCGCCCUGCGAUGCUGAAGCUUGAACGAUGGCCGAAUCGG